UACACACAUGGUGUAAUCCCACUGAGACAUUAGGAGUAACAUCUCCCUAGGAUAUUAUGAAUAAUAUCACAGUGGGUGUACACAGAUGGUGUA
rnacentral:miRNA from 1 species